CCUACGGGAGGCAGCAGUAGGGAAUAUUGCUCAAUGGGGGCAACCCUGACGCAGCAACGCCGCGUGGAGGAUGAAGGCUUUAGGAUUGUAAACUCCUUUUGUGAGAGAAGAUAAUGACGGUAUCCCACUUAUAUGCACCGGCUAACUCCGUGCCAGCAGCCGCGGUAAUACGGAGGGGGCAAGCGUUACUCGGAGUUACUGGGUGUAAAGAGUGCGCAGGCGGGAGUGUAAGUCAGAUGUGAAAUCCUGUGGCUUAACUGCGGAACUGCAUUUGAAACUAUGUGUCUAGAGUGUAGGAGAGGUCAGUGGAAUUCUUGGUGUAGGGGUAAAAUCCGUAGAUAUAAAGAGGAAUACUAGUGGCGAAGGCGGACGACUGGAA
rnacentral:rRNA from 1 species